AGAUGUGAGGGUGAUCUGGUUGCGACAUCUGUCACCCCCAUGGAUCGCCAGGGUUGAUUCGGCUGAUCUGGCUGGCUAGGAGGGUGCCCCUUUCCUCCCUCACAGCUCCACGUGUGUCCCUCCCGAAGUUGGGCCCUCGGUGGAAGAGGAUGACCAUCUCAGGUAGGAGGAGGGUACCGUUCCUCAGUUAAAGUUAUAAUGUUUGCUUGUUCCACAGUGAAAAAUGUACACAAGAGCUGAAAUAGCAUCCAGUGAGGGACCCCCAAGGA
rnacentral:sRNA from 1 species